AUGAGAUGAAGAGGGAGGCAUCACUUUCCUUUUUUGUUUAGUACUUGGAGCGUUACUACUUCCUUAUUAUCUGUUUUGCUGUAUAUAUUCAUACAGAGAGAACAGCUCUUCGCCCUACUUCAUCUGGUCAAAGCAGUUUUGCUGACUGGAAUUCCUAUUCUAUUCUGAAAGUCUUCUGCCAUGUAGCAACCGCCUAUGCCUAGGAUCUUAACAAGAAUGGCCCUGCAUUCUAUGAAUUCUGUUCUUGGUUAUGUAUCAGUUUGAUUGAUUUGUCUUCUAUGAAUUCUGAUUCACUUGAAUUUGUAAAAGAAUGAUGAUCGGGUGUGAAAACUAUAUGCCAGUAUUCUGCUUAUGGUAGAUCAGCCACCAUCAAUUCCCAAAAGAAGAUUGCAUUUCUACCAUGAGUAGUUUUUCCUUGGCGGCUGGCAGUGGGCCAAGAUCUAUGGUUGGAUGACCAUUUGAUAUUGAAUAAUAUCCUAAAAAUAAGAUGAAUAUUUUUUGAAUCAAAUCUUGACUAACUUCAUUGAGGAUGGGCUGCAUGAUGGGCAUGGGCUGUAGUUCUAAUGUUUGCGGGCAUGCCAUUAAAACCAAGGAUUAUAUUGAGGAUGCUUAUCUAGAAUCCAUGCUCAGCACCCAAUUCUCUGUAUGAAGUAUGCUUUUCUAGGACCAAGGCUUCAUGACACCCACAACCAAUCAGCUAAAGUUCAUUAUUAUUUUUAACAUAUGCUGCAUCUAUUGUUGUUGAAAAAUGAUCUUCCUUGCUAGAUCGAGAAAGGCCAUUGCAACUAGCAAGAGCUUCAAGAAAAAAGGGAUGUGCUUUGGUCUCACAUCAAUACGACCAUUUCAUUCAGCUAUUUGUUUUUUUAUUGGCAUCAAUGCUGCCAUUUCAUUCACUUAUUGCUUAGAGCUUUUUCAUGUCAAGUUGAUUUCUGGCAUGGUUAACCUAUGUUUGAAAAAUCAAAAUCUACAGGGAAUUCUACUAGGUAGAUUCAAUAGAAUUGAAUAAAAAAAUUAAAAAUUAAAAAUAGGACAAGUUGGAUUUUUUUUAGUAAUUGCAUAAAUGCACUGAUUUUGUUGCUCUCAAUUCUCAGAUCUCAGUUGAAUUAAUUAACUCAGUUUUGGAGGAUCUCUUACAUGUUAGGAUGCAACUAAAGGUUAUUCAGGUGGACCAACUAUGUAUGUUAUUCAGUAAUCUGGCUGUCUGUCCAAACAUUAUUCAGUACUUUGUAUUUGUAUGGUAGGCAAGGUUGGUGCACCCAGAUAAAAAUCCUGGAGAUCCAAAGGCAGCUCACAAUUCAGUGUUUGGUUGUGCCGCUGAAAGUGACAGAGGAAAGAGACCAUUGAUGACGAAAAUUGCAACCAACAAAAGUGAUGUAACCAUGUUGACAUCAGACAAUCCAAAGAUCCAUGUAUGUAAUCUAGACCAUAAUUCAUAGAUGUUUUGCUUAUCCCACUCGCAUAUAUGAGCCCUACCCAUCUACACAUAAGCCCAUGCCAAUACAGCACACGCGUGAUAUCUAACCUUUCCAUUAGGUGGGCUACACUGUUUAGAUCUUUUGGCAUAAACAAAAAAACAGGCUGUUUUACUCCUCAGGUGGGUGACACCGUAAAUAGCAAUGGAUGUUUAGGAUGGUCUUUUUCACCAUUUGUUUUGUACCAUGUGGCCCACCUUAAAUGUGCUAUGGAUGACAUUUUAAGUCAAAAUAUUUAGUCAGUGUGGCCACCUGAUGCAAAGCUCCUGUUUUACCCCUCAGGUGGGUGACACUGUACAUAACAAUGGAUGUCUAGAAAUAAUUUUUUCACCAUUUGUUUUGUAAGAUGUGAUAUGGCCAACAUUUUAAGUCAGAAGAUUUAGUCAGUGUGGCCACCUAAUGUCAAGCUCCGAUAUUGCUGUCUGCUAUAUUGUCAUGAAUGUGUGUAGAUGGGCAGGUCUUUAUUCCCACGUAUGCUUGGCAAACUUCAUUAUCCAUAUAUUUUGCAAGUGCUGCUCUAACAUAUAA